rnacentral:rRNA from 1 species
UACGGAGGUGGCAAGCGUUGCUCGGAAUCACUGGGCGUAAAGGGCGCGUAGGCGGGGAGGUAAGUCGGGUGUGAAAUCCCUCGGCCCAACCGAGGAACUGCGCCCGAGACUGCUUCUCUUGAGUCCCGGAGAGGAAGGUGAAAUUCCCGGUGUAGCGGUGAAAUGUGUAGAGAUCGGGAGGAACACCGGUGGCGAAGGCGGCCUUCUGGACGGUGACUGACGCUGAGGCGCGAAAGCGUGGGGAGCAAACGGG